rnacentral:rRNA from 1 species
CCUACGGGCGGCAGCAGUGGGGAAUUUUGGACAAUGGGGGGAACCCUGAUCCAGCCAUGCCGCGUGUAUGAAGAAGGCCUUAGGGUUGUAAAGUACUUUUGUUAGGGAAGAAAAGGCAUUUGCUAAUAUCAGAUGCUGAUGACGGUACCUAAAGAAUAAGCACCGGCUAACUACGUGCCAGCAGCCGCGGUAAUACGUAGGGUGCAAGCGUUAAUCGGAAUUACUGGGCGUAAAGCGAGCGCAGACGGUUACUUAAGCAAGAUGUGAAAUCCCCGAGCUCAACUUGGGAACUGCGUUUUGAACUGGGUAGCUAGAGUGUGUCAGAGGGGGGUAGAAUUCCACGUGUAGCAGUGAAAUGCGUAGAGAUGUGGAGGAAUACCGAUGGCGAAGGCAGCCCCCUGGGAUAGCACUGACGUUCAUGCUCGAAAGCGUGGGUAGCAAACAGGAUUAGAUACCCCGGUAGUC